UGAACUUAAGCAUAUCAAUAAGCGGAGGAAAAGAAACUAACAAGGAUUCCCCUAGUAACUGCGAGUGAAGCGGGAAAAGCUCAAAUUUAAAAUCUGUCAGUCUUUGGCUGUCCGAGUUGUAAUCUAGAGAAGUGUUAUCCGCGCUGGACCGUGUACAAGUCUCCUGGAAUGGAGCGUCAUAGAGGGUGAGAAUCCCGUCUUUGACACGGACUGCCAGGGCUUUGUGAUGCACUCUCAAAGAGUCGAGUUGUUUGGGAAUGCAGCUCAAAAUGGGUGGUAAAUUCCAUCUAAAGCUAAAUAUUGGCGAGAGACCGAUAGCGAACAAGUACCGUGAGGGAAAGAUGAAAAGAACUUUGGAAAGAGAGUUAAACAGUACGUGAAAUUGCUGAAAGGGAAACGCUUGAAGUCAGUCGCGUUGUCCAGGGAUCAACCUUGCUUUUGCUUGGUGUACUUUCUGGUUGACGGGUCAGCAUCAAUUUUGACUAUUGGAAAAAGAUUGAGGGAAUGUGGCAUCUUCGGAUGUGUUAUAGCCCUUGGUUGCAUACAAUGGUUGGGAUUGAGGAACUCAGCACGCCGCAAGGCCGGGUUUUUAACCACGUACGUGCUUAGGAUGCUGGCAUAAUGGCUUUAAUCGACCCGUCUUGAAACACGGACCAAGGAGUCUAACAUGCCUGCGAGUGUUUGGGUGGAAAACCCGAGCGCGUAAUGAAAGUGAAAGUUGAGAUCCUUGUCAUGGGGAGCAUCGACGCCCGGACCAGACCUUUUGUGACGGUUCCGCGGUAGAGCAUGUAUGUUGGGACCCGAAAGAUGGUGAACUAUGCCUGAAUAGGGUGAAGCCAGAGGAAACUCUGGUGGAGGCUCGUAGCGAUUCUGACGUGCAAAUCGAUCGUCAAAUUUGGGUAUAGGGGCGAAAGACUAAUCGAACCAUCUAGUAGCUGGUUCCUGCCGAA
rnacentral:rRNA from 1 species